CGCGCGCGCGCGCGGGGCCCCGAGCCGGGUCCGAGCACCCGGUGCGGGCCAUGGAGGGGCUGCGGCGGGGCCUAUCUCGCUGGAAGCGCUACCACAUCAAGGUGCACCUGGCGGACGAGGCGCUGCUGCUGCCGCUCACUGUGCGGCCGCGGGACACGCUCAGCGACCUGCGCGCCCAGCUCGUGGGCCAGGGAGUGAGCUCCUGGAAGCGCACCUUCUACUACAACGCGCGGCGGCUGGACGACCACCAGACGGUGCGCGACGUGCGCCUACAGGACGGCUCGGUGCUGCUGCUCGUCAGCGACCCCAGGUAACCUGGGUUGGAGGAUGCGGAACCGUGGCCGAGGGGACCAAAGGUGCUGGCUGAAGGAGCAGGCUGGGAUGGGGAGGGAAAUCUCCUGGGAGACUGACCUCACUCAGGGUUCUGGCCUCCCAGGAUAGAUGGUGAAACACUGGCCUGCCCAGCUGCUGCUCACUGCCUGGGACCUUUCUGACGGAGCCCUAGUCCUUGCCACCGACUGAGGACAUUGCUGCUCCAGGCCAGCCAGCCUUCCAGUUGUGCUGUGUGAUCCUGAGGCCAUGGCUCCUACCUUGGAGCUUCAAGGUCCCAGGGGGAUCCACAGUGUCAUCUUGGGAGGCAGCCGGAGGAUGUCACAUGUGGAAAAGCAUAGAGCGGAUAGGAGGGGAGCUUGUGGGCCUCACCAGCUCCUGCCUUGAACAUUCUCUCAGGCAUGCCUCUGCCCAAGCUGUGCCCCUUGCUGGAAGCACUUUUCGCACCCCUGUCUUCAGCUCCAGGACACCGGGGAUUGCAGCCUCCUCCAGGAAAUCUUAGAUUUCCUUCUUCCCAGCCAGUGAGCACCUUGUCCUCUUUGGGGCCCCCACAACCCCCCUCUACUGUGAACAGCUCAGCUGGUGGGUUUGGCUGGUUACUCAUGAAAUCUCAAAUGACUGAAGGUGGAGACUGGGGCACCCCAGCCCUCUCUCAGCACUCCAGGGUCGCACUGUGCCCCUCCCCCAACCUCUCCACAAGCUGUACCCAUGCCCACUCCCUUGUCGGCAUCCUUCACUUUGCAGCACAGGCUCUUCUGGUUGAAUGGGUGGGGGUUGGGGGUGGGGGGUCUGUGCCUGGCAGAGUGCUGAGACAUUGAUGAUAAUCGUGGGGGUGAUCCAGACUAUUCCAGGCAGUGUGUUGUAGGGAUUCUGGGUACAAGACCCUCUGGGUGGGGAAUUCCCUGUGGUCCAGUGGUUAGGACUCUGCUUCUGCUGUGCUUCUGGCUAGGGUUCAAUCCCUGGCUGGGGAAUUAAGAUCCCACAAGCUGCGGUAUGGGGACAGAAAAAAAGAAAAAAGGCCCUCCAAGCAGAACACGGGAACUCAGUUGUAUUUCUGAUCUUUGGUCCUCUUUGCAGUCCACCCACUGCCCGGGGUAGCCCAUUCACAUGCACCCUAGACGGCUGCAUUCAAGCCCUGGGUGCUGGCAUCACAGGGCAGAGGCUCAGGAGUCUGGGAAGAAAUAAUGUUUUAAUUAAUAAGAGUUUUGUUGGCUGCAGGGCCCAGAGUAGGGACAGAUGGGUAAUAAAUCGUGGCCAUGGGGAGAGUAGCGCUCAGAUUGGACUUUGUCUUCCACUGUGUGGGGACAGCACCAGGCCUGCGGGGCUCCGCUAGCCUCCCCUCAGACGCCUCUCCGGGGCUGGCGUUCCUCCUGCUGAGGCCAAGCAGCUCAGGGCCCUGCUCCUGCCUGCUUUCAGCCUCAGUGGGUCACUCAAAUGCUGAGGGACCUGCCCACUCCCCAUCCCUCACCCCCAUCCCCAGGACCCAGCGGGAAAGUGGGGCUUUUAAUAGUCAUCCCAGCUCCAUUCUUUGGUUCUCACUAUGUCCCAAGGUCUGUGCUUGGCCUCCACUUAUCUAGUCUUCCAACUGAAAGGAUAGUCAGUGGUGGUGAGGAUUAUGACCCAUUUUACAGAUGGAGCAUCCAAGGUCACCCCAUUCCCCUCAGGUCUGCUGUCCUGGCCAUCCUUGAACUAAAGGGUCCCCAGCCCAUGCACAGGUCCCUGAUAGAAGAAGGGGGAGAGUUUCCUGCUUCUUGGCUGAGGUGGGAGUGGGAGAAAGCAUUUUCAGGCCUUUUUUGACAUUUAACAAACGGUAUGCAAAUUGAAUGCAAAUCACAUGCAAAUCACCACUCAUUUCUUAAUCCUCGACAGCUCCACCGUGUUCUAAAAUAAUAAUCUUGGACCUGUCUCUUGGUAUUGGUCUGGAGGAGGAGUGCAAGUUUUUUCCCUUCCAUUGCUCUCUCUUCCUUUCUUCCUGUUAUCGCUUUACUGCCUUCACAGUGUUUGUUGGAGUCCUCCCAGUCCUGAGAUGAACACAAACAGCAAAAGUGACUUCUGACAUUCCCACUUUCCAGAUGGGAAAACUGAGGCACAGAGAGGGCCAAGCCUGGCCUGAGAUCCCAGCACCACUUGUGGAAAGCAUCCCCACCAAGUGCUGCCGUAGACCAAAGUGGACAGUAUCUGUGACCCACGGAGGAGCGAUAACAGUGGUUGGAGCAGGCCUAAUACAGCUGGGAGGAGCCAGGGGGAUUUCUCUGUGGGUUUCUUGGCCUUGAAUGGCAGUCUGCUUAGAUCUGGAGAAAUCUGACAUCUACUGAUUUUACUCCUCAAGUCAUUUCUCCUGCUAUGCCAUCAUCGUGUUCUUUGAAUUUGGGCCACAGCCUCUCUGCUCAGUUUGCAUGCCUUACUGUUUCUAUUUGCAAACUCCUCUUCAUCCUUCAAAGUCCCAGCUCCCAUGCCCCCUUUGUCAUGCAGCCAUUUCUGAUCCGUCUGAGGUCUGAUCUUUCUCUCUGGUCCAACCCUAACCUUUUUGUGUACACUCUGGAUCGUUCCCAGCACUUUUCUGAUUAUUAUUUUUUGUUUUUGGUUGCACUGGGUCCUAAUGGCUGUGCUCAGGCUUUCUCCGGUUGUGGUGAAUGGACACCGCUCUGUUGCGGUUCACAGGCUUCUUACUGCGGUGGCUUCUCCUGUUGUGGAGCACAGGCUCUAGGCACACAGGUGUCAGUGGCUGUGGCACAUUAGCUUAGUUGCUCUGCAGCAUGUGGAAUCUUCCUGGCCCCGGGAUCAAACCCAUAUCCCCUGCAUCGGCAGGUGGAUUCUUAUCCACUGUACCACCAGGGAAGUCGAACACUUACCUGAUUUAUACGCACCUCCAGACUUGUAUUUUCUGCCCAGGAUGUGCUUUUGGGUCUUUUUUUCACCUGACGUAUUCCUACGUUUUCAAGGUCCUGGCACUAACGCCCAGCCUCCAUUGGGUUCAACAGCCCUCUCCCAGUUGGCCUCUGGGUCCUGUAGCCUCCAGCCUGCCUGGCUCGCUCCUGACCCACAGAACGGGGAGGUCUGUGUGUCCUCCCAGUCUUAGGAGUCACCUCUGGGGCCCCAGGAUCACUCAGGUUGGGACUAGGUACAGAGGGACUAAAUUGAGUGUGUAUAGAAUAAAAGAUUAAGUGUUUGGACACACAGCCAAGUUCAAUCUCCCUAACUUGGCCUUGAGCUUCACCCUCCAUCGACAGUUCAGCCCUGAGCACGUCCUUUUCUCUUCCCUCUUCACUCAUCUCCAGGAAUGCUUUUCCCUUGACUCCUAUUCUGGGUGACCCCAAGCCAGCCCCCUCCCAUCUCUGGGCUGUGAAAAUAGGGGAAGCCUGGUCGUCCCCCCUCAGGGCCUCUCAGGUUCCUGGCUCCACCCCAGGAGCAAGUCUGGGCUGUGAGGAGUUUCAGGUGAGACUUGGCAGUCACCAUCUCUCGCUGGGGCCCGCGGCGUCCGGGGGUGGGGCCACCUCCCGCCUUGGCUGCCCACUUGCUUUGUGCUCCCAGAAGUUGGAGGGGAAUUUUCCUGGGUGGCAGGUAAACCCAGGUGGUUCCCAGAGGAGGCAUCUGUGGCUCAGCCAGAAACUGCAGGUGCCCGGACUUCCCACUUCAGUUCUGCUCUGCCUUCCUCCCUUCCUCCUUCCUCUCUCUCUCUCUGGGACUCCCGAAUGGAUUCUGGCAUUACCUCACUUUGUCCAUUACUUCACCGGGCAUAUGUUGAGCAUGCUGUGUGUGCCUGGUCUUGUGCUGGCUGCUGGAGAUACCAACACAGAGCUUGCUUUGGCUGCCUUAGAUGGCGGGCCAGGCUGUUCACUGCACAGAAACAUCCAGCUGGGGUGAGAGGGCCUCAGGAAGGGGAAUCUUUUUGAAAUUCACGCAAAGUGUCCUAUACCACUGAGUGGUGGUCCUGACCCUGCUGCCUCCCUGCCUGCCCCCACCUGUGUCUUCAUCCACUCAGUGUCUUCUGCACGUAUCUGCCUCCCAUUUAUCGCUUCUUCUCUGUGUGUCUCUUGAUCUCUGCCUCUCCACUAUCUCAUUCUGAGUCUGUCUGUCUCCAUUGCUGUCUCUGUCUCUCUCCGUGUCCCUGGCAGUUUCUCUGUCUCUUUCUCUCUCCAUAUUCCUGUAUUUGUCUCUCGUAUCCACUCUCAGAAAGGAUAUCCUUUCCUGCCGAUCCUCUGAGCGCAACCUCGGGGGGUGUUUCCCAAAGCUGCUGGGACUGCCCAUUCUGUAAUUGUGGACGAAGCACCUCCAGUUUGCAGGCACUGAGGACAGCAUGGUGACCAGGACACCCAGCUGUCGGCCGUCGUGGAGUUACAGAUCCAGCGCAGGAGGCAGAAGCCACAGGGCGCUGCUCCUGGGACCCUGGAAACCCCUCCUCUGAGCUUCCCCCACGUCUUCUUCUGAAUGACCUCGGGUGGUCCUUGUUCCUCUGUGGGCCUCAGUCUCCAAACCUGCCCAAGGAGGAAGGGAGGUGUUUAAGGUGGCUGGGCCAGAAGCUGCUUGCACAGUCUGGGCUGUCUGUAGGCAGAGAGAUCCUGACUCAUCCCCAAGCCAAAAUGGGUUUGAAAGAAUCCUCUAACGGAAAAACAGUUCUUAGAAAAAGGAAAACAAAAAGUCACAGUCAGCUGCUCAGGCUGCUCUCUGACUCACCUGGGGUGGAAGCAGCCUUACUGCCAUCCCCUGGAACAUCAGAGAAAUUUCCCCCCUCUUCCCCUGAUGGCCACUGGCUGCUGUUGGCCUCACCGUGACGGCUCCAGACCUGGCACUGAGCUCACAAGAGCUCACUCUUGUGCUGUGAGCUCCAGUCCCACUUAACCACCUUGCUGACCUCUGAGUGGGAGAAACUCUUUCUGGCCACGGGACCUUUGCAUGUGCUGUUUCUGCAUUCGGAAGACCCUCUCCCCUCCUCUCACCUUUCACUCUCCGCUUUGCAGGUUCAGUGUCGCUUCCUUGGGGAGGCUCUGAACAACCGCUUCCCCUUGGUUUUGCAUUCGCAAAGUAUCCUGUUCUCUUCCUUUGUAGCAUUAAUUAUUUAUAUUAUUAUUCAUUCAGUGUGUUAUUUUCCCCAGUAGCCUCUGGGCACCAAGAAGUCUGGGAUGAGGUCUGGUCUGGUCACUGCUGGAUUGUGCAGCAUUUAAUAACCCAGAGUAAGGGAGUGGGAGCCAAGGACACCCUCCCUUCUCAGGCUCCAUAAGGGUCCCCCGCUCUGGUUUCUGCCACCACUGGGUCUAGCUCCAGGUGGCUGCAGGGCACAGAGCCUGGGGAUUGGGAUUCCAGGCACUCUGGCUCCUGCCACUUUGAUAAAUGGGGGAAAUUCAGAAUUAAUUAUUGACUGCUGCA